rnacentral:rRNA from 1 species
ACGGGAGGCAGCAGUGGGGAAUAUUGCACAAUGGGCGAAAGCCUGAUGCAGCGACGCCGCGUGAGUGAUGAAGUAUUUCGGUAUGUAAAGCUCUAUCAGCAGGGAAGAAAAUGACGGUACCUGACUAAGAAGCCCCGGCUAAAUACGUGCCAGCAGCCGCGGUAAUACGUAUGGUGCAAGCGUUAUCCGGAUUUACUGGGUGUAAAGGGAGCGCAGACGGCAUGGCAAGCCAGAUGUGAAAUGCGGGGGCUCAACUCCUGAACUGCAUUUGGAACUGUCAAGCUAGAGUAUCGGAGAGGUAAGUGGAAUUCCUAGUGUAGCGGUGAAAUGCGUAGAUAUUAGGAGGAACACCAGUGGCGAAGGCGACAUACUGGACUGUAACUGACGUUGAGGCUCGAAGGCGUGGGGAGCAAACAGGAUUAGAUACCCUGGUA